rnacentral:misc_RNA from 1 species
AACUUUUAGCAACGGAUCACUUGGUUCUGGCAUCGAUGAAGAACGCAGCGAAAUGCGAUAAGUAAUGUGAAUUGCAGAAUUCAGUUAAUCAUCGAAUCUUUGAACGCACAUUGCGCCCCCUGGUAUUCCGGGGGGCAUGCCUGUUCGAGCGUCAUUUCACCACUCAAGCCUCGCUUGGUAUUGGGCAACGCGGUCCGCCGCGUGCCUCAAAUCGACCGGCUGGGUCUUCUGUCCCCUAAGCGUUGUGGAAACUAUUCGCUAAAGGGUGUUCGGGAGGCUACGCCGUAAAACAACCCCAUUUCUAAGGUUGACCUCGGAUCAGGUAGGGAUACCCGCUGAACUUAAGCAUAUCAAUAAGCGGAGGCU